rnacentral:lncRNA from 1 species
UGGGAAUCCACCACCCCCUCCCUGCUGCCUCCUGCAGCAGCUCUCCUGCCCUGUGCAAUUACCAAAGUGUCACUGCUCAUUUGGACAGUGAUGGGAGGGUGGAAGGAGAAGGAACACACGACGUGGCUGAAAUACAUCAAACCCAGAAGCUUCAUUAGCCAUGCUCCAGACAGAACCCAGAUGAGAUCAAGCUCUCUCAGAUACAACAAGGGACCAUUCUUGCUGCAAGUCUCCGUUCUCAUUUGAGUGACCAGACUCACCGUCUACCUUGCAACAAAAAGUAACGAGGAGUAAUAAGUCCGUAAGCUAAACAAGUGAAAGGAGCAGCUCAGCAUGGCCCCACAUGCCUCUGCUGAAAGCAUUUUGGAGAGUGAAGCACUUCAGAAGCCAGCCUGUGAGUUUGCACCUUCAACCUGGUCCUUUCCCAAUGGAGAAAAAUCUCAUUUUCCACAGCUAAUUGAUGCACAGAGCCAUUCGGCUCAUUGAAAUUAU